rnacentral:lncRNA from 1 species
AGGGCCCAAAAACCAUCAGGGAGAUCUGUUCUUUCCCCAGGAGAGUUCGGCUGGAACCCUGGGUUGUUAGCUUCACCUUGUUCAAGUUCGGCUUCUUCCGGGAUGGUGCAUUCCACUAUGAAGUCUGCUAAUAUCUGGGCUUUUAUCGCCAAUCGAGGUUGAUAGUUGAUGUCGAAUUUUGUGAGCUCGACCACCCACUUCGCUAUCCUUCCGAAAGCAUCCGUCCGAUGCAGGACUGCCUUAAUCGGC